UUGGUUAACUGAAACAUCUAAGUAUCCAAUGAAGAGAAAUCAACAGAGAGACCAUUAAUAGCGGCGAGCUAAUGUGGUUUAGGUUUAGUUUUUAGUGUAAAAAUUCGAAAAAUGUAUAAAAAAAGGUUUCAAUCCUGUAAAAUUUUUAUUGAAAGCUUUUUUAGUAUUUUGAAAACAGAUUUUGAAAGAAUUUUGGAGAACCAUCUUCAACACCUAAAAAAUUUGAUAACGAAUAGUGAAAAGUACCGUAAGGGAAAGGUGAAAUAGAAAAAUUAAUUUUGAAAAAAUAUUGAAACUUAAUGCUUAAAACAAUUGGAGCUUACAAAGUGACAAGAGUACCUUUUGCAUAAGGGAUCAACAAGUUUAUAGUGUAGGCGAGUUUAAAUUUGUUUAAUGUUAAACGAAGUGAAAACAUUUUUUAUAUAAAAAGUUUUAAGUCUUCACUGUAAUACCCGAAACCAAGUGAUCUAACCAUGAACAAGCUGAUAAACAUAAAGGAAACUUUUUUUUGAAGGCUGAACUCGUAUAUGUUGCAAAAUAUUGAGAUGAUUUGUGGUUAGUGGUGAAAUGCCAAUCGAACUUGGAAAUAGCUGGUUUUCUGCGAAAUUUAUUUUAGUAAAGUGUUUAAUUUAAUUUUUUUGAGAUAGAGUACUUUUUCAAAAAAGGGAUUUCAAAAUUUACUGAUUUGUUGAAAACUUUGAAUGCAAAAAAAAAAAAUUAAGCAAACAGACAUAAAGUGCAAAGAUUUUAUGUUUAAAGGGAAACAGCCCAGAUUACACAUUAAGGACCCAAAAAAUUGAAAAGUUUAAAGACGUUAAAACAUUUAUAAAACCAAGAAGGUAGGCUUGGAAGCAGCCAUUCUUUAAAGAUAGCGUAAUAGCUCACUUGAUAAAAUGUUUUGCACUGAAAAUUUAAUAGGAUUUCAAAAAUUUUCCGAAAUGGUAAAAUUCAAGCUUUGUUUGAAUUGGUAGCAGAAAUGUUUCAUAAGUUUUUAAAGCCAUUUUGUAAGAUUUGGUGAAAACAUUGAAAGUAAUACUGUUGAUAUGAGUAGCGAGAAAGAACAUUUAUUAAUUGUUCUCACCAAAAGUCAAAGGUUUUUAAUGUAAAGUUGAACUUCAUUAAAGAAAUAUUUUCUUUUACAUAAACGGUCCCUAAGAGUAAAAGUGAAAACUUUUUUUGAUGGGUGUUGAUAAAAAUUUUUCAAAAACGUGACAAAAAUUAACAAAUUUUUUAGAAAUUAACUAAGAAAUUUUAAAAUUUUUCAAGAAAAAGCGUUUUAUUAUCGUUAACCGUACUGAAUCCGACACAGGUGGACAGGUAGAAAAUACUAAGGUGAAGGGAUAACUUUUCAAAAGGAACUCGGCAAAAUAGCCUUGUAACUUCGGGAUAAAAGGUGACUUAAUUACAGAAAAAAAUGUUUUUGAGUUGGCACUAAAAAGGAAAAAAUAACUGUUUAACAAAAACAUAGGUCUCUGCAAAGUUGUGAAAUGAUGUAUAGAGGCUGACGCCUGCCCGGUGCUUAAAAGUUAAAAAGCAAAUGUAAGCGCAUUUGCUUUAAUCUCAAGUAAACGGCGGUUUUAACUCUGAAAAUCAUAAUGUAGCGUAAUUCCUUGUCACCUAAUUAGUGACGUGCAUGAAUGGCGUAAUAAUUUUUUUACUGUCUCUUGAAAAGUCUCUGCGAAAUUGGAAUACUCGUGAAGAUACGAGUUUUCUGCAAAUGGACAGAAAGACCCUAGGAGCUUUACUUGACGUAUUUAUUGCGAUGUUUUUUUUUAUGUGCAGAAUAGACGGGAGUGUGUUAACACUUUUUGAGAUACCGUUCUUCAAAAAAAAUGAAGCUAACCAAAUAAAAUUGUUUUGGAAAAGUUUAUACCUGCUAGUUUAACUGGGGCGGUUUCCUUCUAAAAGGUAACGAAGGAGCACAUAAGAUAAACUCAAGUAAAAACCUUUUUACUGGUGAGUGUAAUAGCAAAAGUUUGUUUGACUGCGAGAAAAACUUUUCGAACAGGAGCGUAAGCUGGUUAUAGUGAUCCGGUAAUUUUUUAUGGAAAUUUUACCGCUUAUCGAAUAAAAGUUACCCUAGGGAUAACAGCCUAAUUGCUCUCAAAAGUCCUUAUUGACAGAGCAUUUUGGGACCUCGAUGUCGGCUCAUCAUUUCCUAGUGCUGAAGCAGGUGCUUAGGGUUUGGUUGUUCGCCAAAUAAAAUGGUACGCGAGCUGGGUUCAGAACGCCGUGAGGCAGUUUGGUCCUUAUCUUUUGUGGAUGUGUGAAAACUGAAAAGAGUUAAUUAUAGUACGAGAGGACCUAAUUAAAAGUACCUCUGGUGCAACAAUUGUUAAAAUAGCAUCGUUGUUUAGCUAAGUACUUUAAAGAAAAUUGCUGAUUAAAUAUAAGCAAAAAGCUUUCUUUAAAAAUAUAUGUUUUCUAGUGUUAAAUAAAUCAAAAAUAAUGUGAAAGAUUAUCACUUUAAUAGGUAUUACGUGUAAUAACCGUAAUGUUUUAAGCGCAAAUAUACUAAAC
rnacentral:rRNA from 1 species